rnacentral:rRNA from 1 species
CCGUAACUAUAACGGUCCUAAGGUAGCGAAAUUCCUUGUCGGGUAAGUUCCGACCUGCACGAAUGGCGUAAUGAUGGCCAGGCUGUCUCCACCCGAGACUCAGUGAAAUUGAACUCGCUGUGAAGAUGCAGUGUACCCGCGGCAAGACGGAAAGACCCCGUGAACCUUUACUAUAGCUUGACACUGAACAUUGAGCCUUGAUGUGUAGGAUAGGUGGGAGGCUUUGAAGUGUGGACGCCAGUCUGCAUGGAGCCGGCCUUGAAAUACCACCCUUUAAUGUUUGAUGUUCUAACGUUGACCCGUGAUCCGGGUUGCGGACAGUGUCUGGUGGGUAGUUUGACUGGGGCGGUCUCCUCCUAAAGAGUAACGGAGGAGCACGAAGGUUGGCUAAUCCUGGUCGGACAUCAGGAGGUUAGUGCAAUGGCAUAAGCCAGCUUGACUGCGAGCGUGACGGCGCGAGCAGGUGCGAAAGCAGGUCAUAGUGAUCCGGUGGUUCUGAAUGGAAGGGCCAUCGCUCAACGGAUAAAAGGUACUCCGGGGAUAACAGGCUGAUACCGCCCAAGAGUUCAUAUCGACGGCGGUGUUUGGCACCUCGAUGUCGGCUCAUCACAUCCUGGGGCUGAAGUAGGUCCCAAGGGUAUGGCUGUUCGCCAUUUAAAGUGGUACGCGAGCUGGGUUUAGAACGUCGUGAGACAGUUCGGUCCCUAUCUGCCGUGGGCGCUGGAGAACUGAGGGGGGCUGCUCCUAGUACGAGAGGACCGGAGUGGACGCAUCACUGGUGUUCGGGUUGUCAUGCCAAUGGCACUGCCCGGUAGCUAAAUGCGGAAGAGAUAAGUGCUGAAAGCAUCUAAGCACGAAACUUGCCCCGAGAUGAGUUCUCCCUGACUCCUUGAGAGUCCUGAAGGAACGUUGAAGACGACGACGUUGAUAGGCCGGGUGUGUAAGCGCAGCGAUGCGUUGAGCUAACCGGUACUAAUGAACCGUGAGGCUUAACCUUACAACGCCGAAGCUGUU